CGCAUCUGUGCAUGCAGCAUAUCAAUAAGCGAGGAAAAGAAACUAACAAGGAUUCCCUUAGUAACGGCGAGUGAAGCGGGAAGAGCUCAAAUUUGAAAUCUUCAAGGUUUUACCUUGACGAAUUGUAGUUUAAAGAAGUGUUUUCUGUUGAAGUUUUGGUAAAAGUUCUUUGGAAUAGGACAUCAUAGAGGGUGGAAUCCCGUAUUUGACCAUUAUUUUCAGCUGUGUGAUACACUUUCAAAGAGUCGGAUUGUUUGGGAAUGCAGUCCAAAAUGGGUGGUAAAUUUCAUCUAAAGCUAAAUAUUGGCGAGAGACCGAUAGCGAACAAGUACCGUGAGGGAAAGAUGAAAAGAACUUUGAAAAGAGAGUUAAACAGUACGUGAAAUUGUCAAAAGGGAAGCGUUUGACACCAGUGUUGUUUUCUCGAAAAUCAAUUAAAAAGAGUUUAGAUUUUGUUGUGUAUUGACCUUAACAGCUUGCAUUUCAAUUUUCUUGCUUUUUUUAAUGCACUUUUCGUUUAACAAGUCAACAUCAGUUUCUUUUGUUGUAAAAAGGUCAUUGGAAGGUGGCUUUCCUUUUCGGAGAAAGUGUUUAUAGCCUUUGACUCCUGCAAUCGGAGAGACUGAGGUCUGCAGCGUAGAUCCUUCGGGGUUAGAUACAUUUGUGCUAAGUUAUAGCUUUUUAUAGACAACUUGUUGACUAUGAUUAGUCUUGUAGCUUACUCGCUUAUGCUAUUUUACCUACGCUUAGGAUGUUGACGCGCGUGUGUGCGUG
rnacentral:rRNA from 1 species